rnacentral:misc_RNA from 1 species
CCAAUAGCGUAUAUUAAAGUUGUUGCGGUUAAAAAGCUCGUAGUUGAAUUUCGGGAUUAGUACGUUGGUCGUGCCUUCGGUACGUACUGGUGUUACUGAUUCCUACCUUCUGACGAACCAUCAUGUCAUUAAUUUGGUGUGGCGGGGAAUCAGGACUGUUACUUUGAAAAAAUUAGAGUGUUUAAAGCAGGCUCGCGCUUGAAUACAUUAGCAUGGAAUAAUGAAAUAGGACGUUGACCCUAUUUUGUUGGUUUCUAGGAUUGACGUAAUGAUUAAUAGGGAUAGUUGGGGGCAUUAGUAUUCAAUUGUCAGAGGUGAAAUUCUUGGAUUUAUUGAAGACUAACUACUGCGAAAGCAUUUGCCAAGGAUGUUUUCAUUAAUCAAGAACGAAAGUUAGGGGAUCGAAGACGAUCAGAUACCGUCGUAGUCUUAACCAUAAACUAUGCCGACUAGGGAUCGGAUGAUGUUAAUUUUUUAAUGACUCAUUCGGCGCCUUACG